rnacentral:rRNA from 1 species
UACAGAGGGUGCGAGCGUUGUCCGGAAUCACUGGGCGUAAAGCGCACGUAGGCGGCUUUUAAGUCAGGGGUGAAAUCCUGGAGCUCAACUCCAGAACUGCCUUUGAUACUGAAGAUCUUGAGUUCGGGAGAGGUGAGUGGAACUGCGAGUGUAGAGGUGAAAUUCGUAGAUAUUCGCAAGAACACCAGUGGCGAAGGCGGCUUACUGGACCGGUUCUGACGCUGAGGCGCGAAAGCGUGGGGAGCAAACAGG